rnacentral:rRNA from 1 species
CCUACGGGGUGCAGCAGUGAGGAAUAUUGGUCAAUGGGCGGAAGCCUGAACCAGCCAAGUCGCGUGAGGGAAUAAGGCCCUACGGGUCGUAAACCUCUUUUGCCGGGGAGCAAGGGCGGGGACGUGUCCCGGCCCGGAGAGUACCCGGAGAAAAAGCAUCGGCGAACUCCGUGCCAGCAGCCGCGGUAAUACGGAGGAUGGGAGCGUUAUCCGGUUUUAUUGGGUUUAAAGGAUGCGUAGGCGGGCCUUUAAGUCAGCGGUAAAAAUAAGGGGCUCAAUCCCGUCCGGCCGUUGAAACUGGGGGCCUUGAGUGGGCGAGAGGAUGGCGGAAUGCGUGGUGUAGCGGUGAAAUGCAUAGAUAUCACGCAGAACCCCGAUUGCGAAGGCAGCCAUCCGGCGCCCUACUGACGCUGAGGCACGAAAGUGCGGGGAUCGAACAGGAUUAGAUACCCUAGUAGUC